rnacentral:antisense_RNA from 1 species
UGUAGGAGUGAGCCUGCUCGCGAUAGCGGUUGAUAUUCAGCACACGUAUUGACUGACAUGGCGCUAUCGCGAGCAGGCUCACUCCCACA